UACGUAGGGACCAAGCGUUGUUCGGAUUUACUGGGCGUAAAGCGUGCGCAGGCGGUUUUGUAAGCCAGGUGGGAAAUCCCCGGGCUCAACCUGGGAAUGGCAUUUGGGACUGCAAGGCUGGAGUUUGGCAGAGGAGACUGGAAUUCCCGGUGUAGCAGUGAAAUGCGUAGAUAUCGGGAGGAAUACCGAUGGCGAAGGCAGGUCUCUGGGCUAUAACUGACGCUCAUGCACGAAAGCGUGGGGAGCAAACAGG
rnacentral:rRNA from 1 species